UCCCAACAACGUCUUUGGACUCAGCUCCUG
rnacentral:piRNA from 1 species